rnacentral:lncRNA from 1 species
UCCAUAUGCAGGUGGUUCCUUGAAUCGAUCUAAUUUUCUGAUGUCAUCCAGGGUGUUGAUCUCUGGAGACAAGCCACCAUGUACACACAGGAACUGUUGGUUCAUCAGAGCAGCCAAGGGAAGGCAGUCAAAGGCAUCCAUGCAGGCAUCAUAUACUCGUUCUGAAUAUUUGAUUUUACAUUCUUGCUUAAAUGUGAAAUACUCUGUUAAAUGUCUACAUUCAUGAUUCCCA